rnacentral:RNase_P_RNA from 1 species
UAGGCAAACGCUGCAAUAUUUGUAGAGGAAAGUCCAUGCUCACACUAGCUGUGAUGCUAGUAGUGUUCGUGCAUAGGGAAAAAAUAACCUAUGGUAGUUUUUAACUAACGGCAUUGAAUUAACCGCUUAGGUUAUAGUAGAUAUAAAAGUGCUAUAGUGACGAUAUGGCUUAGAAAUAAGUCAAGUGAGACGACGUAAACCCCACGAGUGAGAAACCCAAAUUUUGGUAGGGGAACUGGAAUGAAGAAAUAAGAACUUCAAACCGGAUCGAUAUGAUAGAUAAAUGUUUGCCAACCUUUAAGGUUACAGAACAUGGCUUAUU